GAUCCUGGCUCAGAAUCAACGCUGGCGGCGCGCUUAACACAUGCAAGUCGCACGAGAAAGUGGAGCAAUCCAUGAGUAAAGUGGCGUACGGGUGAGUAACACGUGGAUCAUUUACCUCUUGGUGGGGAAUAACCCUGGGAAACCGGGGCUAAUACCGCAUAAGCCUGCGAAGGGAAAGCAGCAAUGCGCCGAGAGAGGAGUCCGCGGCCGAUUAGCUAGUUGGUAGGGUAAUGGCCUACCAAGGCAAUGAUCGGUAGCCGGCCUGAGAGGGCACACGGCCACACUGGCACUGAAACACGGGCCAGACUCCUACGGGAGGCA
rnacentral:rRNA from 1 species